rnacentral:lncRNA from 1 species
ACAUUUGUCCUGCUGCAUGCUUAAAUGUGUAUAUAAUAAAUAGAGUGUGGACUGUGGAGUGCCACUGAUUUAAAAAAAAAAAAAUUCAAAGUCCCACACCAUGGAUGAAUCAGAGAAAAGUGCCACCAUGGAAAUUGUGGGUCCAAUACUAAGUGUAUAGGUGCAUUUCUUUUUCUUUUUGUCUAAAUUGCUUGGGAAUUUCAGUGAAACUCCUAUGAUUAGGGAAUAAGAAAUGUUUCUUAUAUUAAGCAUAUCUCAAUUACGAGUACGAAUGUACUUUGCUUUGUAUAAUGCGAUAAUUGUACAUAUAUAGUAUGCAAAUGCGCACGUAAAUUAUUGUCAAUAGUUGAUGUAUAAAUGUCCAAUAAUUACACAUCAAAUAGCAGUCAAUGAAAGUGCAACCAACUAUUAAUUUAAGUUUAACAAUUAUAUAAUCAAAAUAAAGCACAAGUGUGCAAGUACAAGAUGCCAUGAUUAGACAAGUGGGUAGAAAACUGGGGUCCAGCAAGCUAAUGAUAGUGUGAGAUGUCAUUUUUCUCAAACUAAUUAACUUCAUGUAUUUCUCAAUUGUGUUCCAUCAAAGACAAUUAGCAGGAAACUUUGUCUUAAAUGACACAAUGUAUCUCGAUCACUUCUUAUUUGAGACUUUGAAACUUUGAAAAGUUCCUUAAAUGGUGGGGUGCAUGGCGCCCAACCUUUCAUGUAAAGCAAGAAAUUAAUGCUUAAUCUAAAAUUUAAUCCUAUGUGCUUGUCAUAAUCAUCUAAAGGAAAUUUUACAUUACUACCAUAUAAUUAUAAUUAACCCACAGAAAGUAGCAAUAUAAUGCCAUCCAGCUUAAGAUGCAUAACUAAUCAUGCUUUAAUUUGCAUAAACCAUCUUAUCAUAGUUAAUUACCAUGGAAACAGGUAAAAAUGAUUUGCUUGUGGAAAGUCACGGAAUAGGUAGGUCGGUUUGGCACGGCAAUUAAAAGGGUUUUUUCAAUAUCACUAGCUGGCAGCUUCUUAUAGGGUUUCUUUAAAACAAGAGAAAUUUGUAUUCACACUAGAAAUAUAAGUCACGUAGUGUAUCAUUCUACUUAUUGAUGAUAGAUGACAUGGUUGAUACUUCAUACUUUUAAUAUAUAUUAAUGAAAGAACAAGUUCAUGUGUUACAUAAAGUAGUAACGUCAGUGCCAAGGAGUUGGUUUAGUGGAACAAGGAAAGACUUAAUUAGAACUCCAAAUUCGAGUUCGGACUCUUACAGAUACAUUCUGUAUGACCAUCGGCUCUUUGUUAUGGCAUAUCGUUU